rnacentral:rRNA from 1 species
UACGUAGGGUGCGAGCGUUAAUCGGAUUUACUGGGCGUAAAGAGCGCGCAGGCGGUCGUUCAAGUCGAGUGUGAAAGCCCCCGGCUCAACUGGGGAGGGUCACUCGAUACUGAUCGACUCGAAGGCAGGAGAGGGAAGUGGAAUUCCCGGUGUAGUGGUGAAAUGCGUAGAUAUCGGGAGGAACACCAGUGGCGAAGGCGACUUCCUGGCCUGUUCUUGACGCUGAGGCGCGAAAGCUAGGGGAGCAAACGGG